AUUGAACGCUGGCGGCAGGCCUAACACAUGCAAGUCGAGCGAGCGGCGGACGGGGGAGUAAUGUCUGGGAAACUGCCUGAUGGAGGGGGAUAACUACUGGAAACGGUAGCGAAAACAGCAUACAAUCAGAAGUGCCCAGAUGGGAGUAGCGAGUAGGGGGGGUGACGGCUCACCUAGGCGACGAUCCCUAGCUGGGCUGAGAGGAUGACCAGCCACAGUGGAACUGCGACACGGUCCAGACUCCUACGGGAGUCAGCAGUGGUGAAUAUUGCACAAUGGGCGCAAGCCUGAUGCAGCCGUGCCGCGUGUAUGAAGAAGGCCUUCGGGUUGUAAAGUACUUUCAGCGGGGAGGCGUUACCCGCAGAAGAAGCACCGGCUAACUCCGUGCCAGCAGCCGCGGUAAUAC
rnacentral:rRNA from 1 species